GUGACCACUGAAGGCAGCUUUGCCAAAAUCAUGUACACAAUACUUUGGUUUUUCCCCGCAUAUGUGUUUUGCGCUGUGUUAAUAACACAGAAAGCGAUUACAAAGUCAAAGUUACGAUGUUAAUUAAGGCCGGAUACACUUCAGUAGGGUUAUUUCUCUGAAAGCUUCUCAAGUGCAUUUUGCAGUAGGAAGACAAAACUGGAUACUGGGAGAGGGCACAAGGAUUUCUGUGAAUAUAGGACGGUAUCCUUGUGGUAAAGGUGGGGCGCUCUGCUCCAGAAAAUCUAGCACUGACUUCCGCACGUCUUUGGGUACAUCUCCUCUUACAUCCAACAGGACAGAAACAUGCUCCUCACUGAAAAAACAUACUUUAACCCAGUUAAGAACAGCGAAGAUUUCUCCACCCUCUAGCUCCCAUCCACUAACCAGUCCAAGAUGGUUCUGCAAGAACUGGUGGCAGAAGCGCAGAUAAGCUCUUGUUAGGCGAUAGUGAGACGGAACACAUUGU